rnacentral:rRNA from 1 species
UACGUAGGGGGCAAGCGUUGUCCGGAAUCAUUGGGCGUAAAGCGCGUGUAGGCGGCCCGGUAAGUCCGCUGUGAAAGUCCAGGGCUCAACCCUGGGAUGCCGGUGGAUACUGUCGGGCUCGAGUCCGGAAGAGGCGAGUGGAAUUCCUGGUGUAGCGGUGAAAUGCGCAGAUAUCAGGAGGAACACCAAUGGCGAAGGCAGCUCGCUGGGACGUGACUGACGCUGAGGAGCGAAAGCGUGGGGAGCGAACAGG